GUAAUGUGAAUUGCAGAAUUCAGUGAAUUUCGAAUCUUUGAACGCACCUUGCGCUCCCUGGUAUUCCGGGGAGCAUGCCUGUUUGAGUGUCACGUGAAUAUCUCGUCCACCACUUGUGGUCUUCGAGGAUUUGGACCGUGCCGAGUCAUCGGCUCGUCCCGAAAUGCAUUAGCCUGUGCCUCCGAGCCGGCCUUGGUGUGAUAUACAUCUACGCCUGUGUGUCGCGUCUCGGUGAUAGCCUGGCUUACAAACGUCGGCUUGCCCCGACAAUCUCAUCUUAACGCUCUGGCCUCAAAUCAGGUAGGACUACCCGCUGAACUUAAGCAUAUCAAUAAGCGGAGGAAAAGAAACUAACAAGGAUUCCCCUAGUAACGGCGAGUGAAGCGGGAAAAGCUCAAAUUUGAAAUCUGGCGGUCUCUGGCCGUCCGAGUUGUAGUCUAGAGAGGCGUCUUCCGCGUCGGACCGUGUACAAGUCCCUUGGAACAGGGCGUCAUAGAGGGUGAGAAUCCCGUCCAUGACACGGACUACCGGUGCUUUGUGAUGCGCCUUCAAAGAGUCGAGUUGUUUGGGAAUGCAGCUCAAAAUGGGUGGUAAAUUCCAUCUAAAGCUAAAUACAGGCGAGAGACCGAUAGCGAACAAGUACCGUGAGGGAAAGAUGAAAAGCACUUUGGAAAGAGAGUUAAACAGUACGUGAAAUUGUUGAAAGGGANACGCUUGUAGUCAGUCGCGUCCGCCGAGACUCAGCCUUGCUUCUGCUUGGUGCAUCUUCUCGGUGGAUGGGCCAGCAUCGAUUUUGGUUGCCGGAUAAAGGCUGGAGGAAGGUGCGCACCUUCGGGUGUGUUAUAGCCUCCUGUCGCAUACGGUGGCUGGGAUCGAGGACUGCAGCACGCCUUCAUGGUCGGGGUUCGCCCACGUCCCGUGCUUAGGAUGCGUGGCGUAAUGGCUUUAAACGACCUNGUCUUGAAACACGGACCAAGGUGUCUACAUGCGCUGCGAGUGUUUGGGUGGAAAACCCAGGCGCGUAAUGAAAGUGAAAAGUUGGGGACUCCUUUAGGAGGCACUGACGCCCGAUCCUGACCUUCUGUGAUGGAUAUGAGGCAGAGCAUGUAUGUUGGGACCCGAAAGAUGGUGAACUAUGCCUGAAUAGGGCGAAGCCAGAGGAAACUCUGGUGGAGGCKCGUAGCGAUWCUGACGUGCAAAUCGAUCGUCAAAUUUGGGUAUAKGGGCGAAAGACUAAUCGAACCAUCUAGUAUCUGGUNCCUGCCGAAGUUUCCCUCAGGAUAGCAGAAACUCGCAUCNGUUAUAUGUGGUAAAGCGAAUGAUAAGAGGCCUUGGGGUGGAAACAACCUUAACCUAUNCUCAAACUUUAAAUAUGUAAGAUCGGGCCGUCGCUUGAUAGGACCGCCUGGCGAAUGAGAGUGUCUAGUGGGCCAUUUUUGGUAAGCAGAACUGGCGAUGCGGGAUGAACCGAUCGCGAGGUGAAGGUGCCGGAAUGCACGCUCAUCUGACACCACAAAAGGUGUGAGUGCAUCUAGACAGCACGACAGUGGCCAUGGAAGUCUGAGCCCGCUAAGGAGUGUGUAUCAACUCACCUGCCGAAUGAACUAGCCCUGAAAUGGAUGGCGCUCACGCGUGCUGACCCAUACCUCGCCCGUCAGCGUUGANGUGACACGCNUGACGA
rnacentral:rRNA from 1 species